rnacentral:snRNA from 1 species
GUGCUUGUUUUGGCAGCACAUACACUAAAAUUGAAACGAUAUAGAGAAGAUCAGCAUGAUCCCUGUACAUGGAUGACACACAAAUUUGUGAAGUGUUCUAUAUUUCU